CAACUUUCAACAACGGAUCUCUUGGCUCUCGCAUCGAUGAAGAACGCAGCGAAAUGCGAUAAGUAAUGUGAAUUGCAGAAUUCAGUGAAUCAUCGAAUCUUUGAACGCACCUUGCGCCCCUUGGUAUUCCGAGGGGCACGCCUGUUCGAGUGUCGUGA
rnacentral:rRNA from 4 species